AAAAAAAAAACCCUAUAUGCAUAGAAGCAUAAGAAAAUUACAAUCAAAUAAAUCAUAACUCCUUCCCAGGUGAAUGGACGACCCCGGAAACUCCUCUCUGAAUCAAAACCUGAUUACAAUCGGUCUUUUGAUUGUUCUUAUUACUUUUGGUUUGAUAUUCUUGGUGUGCCUUAUCGAGCUUAAUUAUGAUCGAUAUAUUGUAAUUCAUUUGAAAGAAAGCUUGCUAAUAUGAAAGAAAAUAAGCCAAGCUUUGCUAUAAAGGAUCAAGUGCUCAUCAAAUGGGGAGGGAUGCAGCUAAAAAAAGAGUAAAAAGAAAGGUAAGGGCGCAGCAUUGGAAGUGAUCAACGAAGAAUGAAAUGAAUUCAAAUAAUUCAAGGAACAAGAGUUGGAACGAUUGGACAAACUGAUGAACGAGAGGACUCAAGAAAAAAAAUUAUGAAGAUUUUUUAGAGCUAAGUGAAAAGGAACAUCUCGAUGAUCAAAGCAACAAAUUAUUAGAGAACCUAGAGAACGAUCUAUUGAGAAAUUAACUGUUGUCAAGUGUAUGUUUGUAUUUUAUCACUUCUCUUUUAAUAACGUGUGUUUGUCACUUUCUGCUUUUUGUCACUGUGUAUCUCAUGUCUUUUUGUAUUUCUGCAUUACUUCAAUAAUAUUUAUUUGUCAAUAUUCCA